GACGGUGGGUACUGCCAGGCGUUGAGCAAGGCCGGGCGCCGCCCGCGACAGCUCACCUCCACUUCCGGUUCGGGGAGCCGCGCGGGGACCGUUAUGUCCGGUCCGGGAGGAGCUGCCAGGAAUGCGCAGGCGCAGGACGGACUCUGCGCAGGCGCAUUACGUUGCAUGUGACCAUGUUUCUUGCUCCCGCCUGAAGCCUCCCGGAAGUAAGGCCCUGGGAGGCGGGGCCGACCAAAUCAGGGCACCCACUGGCCGCUGCCAGGCUGAGCUAUGGAGCCAGAGCAGCUGAAAACCGCCUCCCGUCGGCCGAGUUAGGCGAGAGAGCCUGGUGGUGAAACCGACCUGGGACCCAGCCCUAUGGAGCUCACAGUCUAGUGGGGAAGUCUAUGAAACAAGUGUACAGUCACCAAUUGUGAUAAGCUCAAAAGGGAGAGGUGUGAACCACAGGCAGGAACAGAUGUGCCAUCGAAAUUUUUCCAACUGAGUUGCCGUUCUCCAGUAUGCAUAUUUUUCUAUGCCGCAAAUCCAAAAGACAUUUUGGAAACAAUUAAACAGCCUAUAAGAGGACAUUCAGCACUUUGGGAGGCUGAGGCGGGCAGAUCACUUGAGGUCAGGAGUUCGAGACCAACCUGGCCAAUAUGAAGAAACCCCGUUUCUACUAAAAAUACAAUAAUUAGCCAGGCAUGGUCGCGGUCGCCUGUAGUCCCAGCUACUUGGGAGCCUGAGGCAGGAGAAUCACUUGAACCUGGUAAGUAGAGGUUGCAGUGAACCGAGAUUAUGCCACUGCACUCCAGCCUGGGCGAGAGUGAGACUCUGAAAAAAAAAAAAGACGACGACACUCAGACUUACAACUGGCUUUUGCUUUAUUGUGUAAUUUACACAGCACAACCCCAAACUCCACACUUGGUUUUUCUCUUCUGCCUUCAUUACUCUUUCAGUAUCUAUGUUGACAGAGAUCGUUUCUCCCAACAGCAUAUGUGGUUUGAUCCUCAACCAAGACGCAUAGGCCCUACAAGAUCCCAGCCCUCCAACACGAAUACCUGGGCCCUCCCAUUUGACUGCAGCCUUGCCUGUUUGUACUGGGGCUCUGCCCUGGUCCUGUCACCCCUGAGGCGUCCGUAGGGCAGGAAUGCCAAACAGGAUCCGUGUGAUUUACUCUGAGUAAAUACAAGAGGCUGCUAGCAGCCCCCAGCUGAGGAUUGAGAGGCAGGCUAUGUCUGGGUUUCAUUUCAGAGAACACUGUGAUGCAUUAGCAACGUCUGCUAUGGAAACACCCAUUAGAAGUACCUGGAAGGAGGGUUUUGGGAAACGGACUCAGAAAGGAACAAGGUGUGUCCGUUCCAUUCUUGCCUUAGGUGGCUGUUCUGCUGCCCAGGCUGCACUGUCUCAGUGGCCAGGUGGCUGAGGAGGAAGUCUGAAGGCCACAGAGUCGCAAGUAACUUCCCUGGGGCCUGCGGGGGACAGCAUAGGCCCGAAGCUAGAGGAAGCUUGGAAGGGCGCCCACGCUGGGCCCUGCGGGGCUCUGCACACUGCAGGCCACCAUGGCGCUAGCUCUUUAUCCUCUGGAGUCUGUCUCAUCCCGGAGAAGACAGCUGGCUGGCCUCACAGCGUUAGAUGAAACUCAGGGGUAAAAACAUUUUUACAUGGCACGGACACACAAUGGGCUUUACCUCUGGAUACACUUAGAAACUUUCCAUCCAAACGAAAAGGGUGUAUCUUCUGUACGUUGCCAAGAAGCCUAAACUGAGUACAAGGACAAUCUUACUUUAAUCAAGUUCCAGAAUGAGGGUACACAGCUUCGAAAAGCAGUUUGUAGCAGAAGAUGCAAGGGCGUGUGUAAAGCCAUGUUUC